rnacentral:rRNA from 1 species
CAGGUCUUGACAUCCUCUGACAAUCCUAGAGAUAGGACGUUCCCCUUCGGGGGACAGAGUGACAGGUGGUGCGUGGUUGUCGUCAGCUCGUGUCGUGAGAUGUUGGGUUAAGUCCCGCAACGAGCGCAACCCUUGAUCUUAGUUGCCAGCAUUCAGUUGGGCACUCUAAGGUGACUGCCGGUGACAAACCGGAGGAAGGUGGGGAUGACGUCAAAUCAUCAUGCCCCUUAUGACCUGGGCUACACACGUGCUACAAUGGAUGGUACAAAGGGCUGCGAGACCGCGAGGUUAAGCGAAUCCCAUAAAACCAUUCUCAGUUCGGAUUGUAGGCUGCAACUCGCCUACAUGAAGCUGGAAUCGCUAGUAAUCGCGGAUCAGCAUGCCGCGGUGAAUACGUUCCCGGGCCUUGUACACACCGCCCGUCACACCACGAGAGUUUGUAACACCCGAAGUCGGUGGGGUAACCUUUUGGAGCCAGCCGCCUAAGGUGGGACAGAUGAUUGGGGUG